ensembl:piRNA 21ur-3922 ncRNA
UCGGAUCGGGUCAUACCGGAU